AUAGUACUCCCUCUAUCCGGAAAUACUUGUCGGAGAAAUAGAUGUAUCUAGACGUAUUUUAAUUCUAGAUACAUUCAUUUUUAUGCAUUUCUUCGACAAGUAUUUUCGGACGGAGGGAGUAGUAG
rnacentral:pre_miRNA from 1 species